rnacentral:rRNA from 1 species
AACGCUAGCUACAGGCUUAACACAUGCAAGUCCAGGGGCAGCAUGAACUUAGCUUGCUAAGUUUGAUGGCGACCGGCGCACGGGUGAGUAACGCGUAUCCAACCUGCCCACCACUUGGGGAUAACCUUGCGAAAGUAAGACUAAUACCCAAUGAUAUCUCUAGAAGACAUCUGAAAGAGAUUAAAGAUUUAUCGGUGAUGGAUGGGGAUGCGUCUGAUUAGCUUGUUGGCGGGGUAACGGCCCACCAAGGCAACGAUCAGUAGGGGUUCUGAGAGGAAGGUCCCCCACAUUGGAACUGAGACACGGUCCAAACUCCUACGGGAGGCAGCAGUGAGGAAUUUUGGUCAAUGGGCGAGAGCCUGAACCAGCCAAGUAGCGUGCAGGAUGACGGCCCUAUGGGUUCGCCCCCUGCUUUUAUAAGGGAAUAAAGUGAGAGUCGUGACUCUUUUUGCAUGUACCUUAUGAAUAAGGACCGGCUAAUUCCGUGCCAGCAGCCGCGGUAAUACGGAAGGUCCGGGCGUUAUCCGGAUUUAUUGGGUUUAAAGGGAGCGUAGGCCGGAGAUUAAGCGUGUUGUGAAAUGUAGAUGCUCAACAUCUGAACUGCAGCGCGAACUGGUUUCCUUGAGUACGCACAAAGUGGGCGGAAUUCGUGGUGUAGCGGUGAAAUGCUUAGAUAUCACGAAGAACUCCGAUUG